CGGCUGACAAAAUCACCGAGCCAUCGACGAGCCCGCGAAACCUCGGCCGUCCUGGGCUUGUCCCUGCAUGUUUGUAAAGCGGGACUGGCACCAACCUCAGAAAGGAUGGGAGAUGUGUGCAAAAAAGCGCCUUGUAAAACGCGCCAAGAAAACCCUGGAGGGAGGCUGUUAGGAGGGACUCUGAGCUUCACACCUGUCUGCUGCCAUGGGUGCAGAGCCCUAGUCCUGAUGGCCCCUGGUGGCACAUAUCGAAUGCCUAGGGCAGAAAGGAAGUGGGAAUGGCGAAGAUGUGACGUUCCUCGGUGUUAGAUCCUGUUUUUUCUUAACAAGUUGAGGCGUGGGUAGAGCAGGAAUUGGUUUUCCAGCAUUGUGUCCGUAAACCUGAGUUAGAAUAAGAUGUAACGGAAGCCACGAUAAAGACUCGG
rnacentral:lncRNA from 1 species